rnacentral:rRNA from 1 species
UUUAACAAAAACAUGUCCUUUUGAGGAAAAUUUAAGGUCGGGCCUGCCCACUGACAUUAGUUGAAGGGCCGCGGUAUUUUGACCGUGCAAAGGUAGCAUAAUCAUUAGUCUUUUAAUUGAGGGCUGGAAUGAAUGGUUUGACGAAAUAUUAACUGUCUCUUUAUAAUAAUUGAAAUUUAACUUUUGAGUCAAAAGGCUUAAAUAAAUAUAAAAGACGAGAAGACCCUAUAGAUCUUUAUAUAAUUGAUGUAAUUAUUUAUUUAGUUGUGUUAAUUAUAAUUAUAGUAUUAUAUUUUGUUGGGGUGACAUGAAGAUAUAUAUAACUCUUUAUAAUGGAGACAUUGAUUUAUGAUUGUUUGAUCCGUUAUUAACGAUUAUAAGAUAAAGUUACCUUAGGGAUAACAGCGUAAUUUUUUUUGAGAGUUCUUAUCGACAAAAAAGAUUGCGACCUCGA